GCACGUGGUGCAGCAACAGUUUAUUUUCCUGCGAGAUGGGGAAUGCGGGACCUGCGAGCCGCCCGUUCGCGGAGGCUUCGCUUCCAGCUUCCCACCGAGGUUGGCUGGGGAGAGCCCUCCCCGAAACGCGGGCGGCUUCGGCUCCCUGCGUCCCCCCCGCGCCGCCCCCUGUGGAAGUGAGGUGCCCGUCGGCACUGGGCGCGAACUUCAAAAACCCAGAACUCCGAGCUCUGGGCUGAAGUUUCAUGCGCGAGAAGUUUUCUUGUGGAAAGUAAAACAAGCCGCCUUGCCUCGAAAGGCGGGUGCGGAUGCAGCGUGCUUUUUGUGCACGGCAAUGUGUAUAUUUAUGUUACUCCCGCACUGCCACGUGUUGGGCUGUUUGCGGACGAGGAGGCGCCGGGGGUUGUGAAGCAAACGCUUUAAACGGCUGAUGAAAUAAUGAAUUCCUACGGCAGUGCAGGGCUCCCGCCUCCCCCCACCUCCCUGCUCGGCGGCGGGGACAUCCACACAAACACGCGAUUCAACAGCAGAAGAGGAAGCAACAAGCGUUUUAACAGAAAAUCCUCCCAAGUACCUUGUAACUAUUUUUAUGUGGCGUAAUUACAGCGACCUUGCUGGAGAUAAAACAGCUGUUACAUCCUGAAUGGGGGACAUGUGUGGGGCGGGGGGAGGGGGAAGGAGGAGGAGGUGCGGCUGGUGAGUCACGUCAGUUAACAAGGCGCCGCUGUUGGGCACUGCGGGAUCAGGGUCUGGCUUUUGGGUGACGGUUGCGGUUGGCUACUGGUAUCUGGCGUGCCUUGCCCGGGGGGGGGCAGCAAGGUGGCUCGCAGCGCCGGAGCCAGGCGGGCGGUUGUGCCGCUCGGAGCUGACGGAGAGCCCGCCGGCGGCACGAGCCGGACCGUUACCCGCCGACCAACCGCCCUCCGCGCGCCCUUCGGGCCGCCUUCCCGCCGCCGUCGCCCCUGGGCUGCGUCCCGUUGGGUUCGUGCCCGGGCAGGGGUGAGAGAGCCCGGUGCUGCCGCCCCGUAAGGUGGCAGCUCGGGAGAACGAGGCUCGCUGCGGGGCUGGUGUUUGUAAUGUGACAAGAAGCGAGCUGUGUCUCCGAGGGACUGGUGACUGAGGGGGGAGGGUGUGCGCGCACGCCGCCGUUUUUUUUUUGUUGUUGUUGUUGGUUUUUUUUUCCCCCGUGUUUUGUUUUUGUUGUUUAAAAUCCUGCUUGCCAGCUGUGGAGGCUGACUCUUCCAACUGGUGUUUUGAGUGUCCGGGCAUGGCCAAGCUAAAAAACUAAUUACGGGAAGUUAACAAAAGACACGUCAAGGAUUUGAAGAGAUUUCCCUUUCUCCAUACCGCCCAAGCUGCCCCACGCUUACUUACUGUCCUCAGGGCUGCCAGAAAGUUUGUGAACCAAACUCUUUCUUUUUGUUUUUUAGGUUUGUUUGGGUUGGAUUUGUUGACAAUUUUCCAGGUUUUUUUUUUUUGUUUUUUUUUUAGCCAAGUCACUUUUAUGAGGGGAAAAAUAGAAGUUUUAUUUUCAGACUGAUCUCAGGCUUGCUUUUAAGAGCGUUGGGAAGAACCUUUCUAUCUCUGCUGGAACGUCAGUUCCUAGGAAUUUUCUCAGAGGGACACAAGGAAAAGAUUAGUUUCAACUUAGUGUGACAGCUUUUUAGCUAUCAGAAGCUGGCAGUGGACCAGUGGGUGUUCAUUCCUAGCUCCCCGGGUACAAAAUGCACAGAGAGAAACAUUUUUUGGUACAAAGCUAUUUUGCAGAUGUGAAUAUGGAGGGUGUUUAUCCAUAGUUGGGACCACUGGGAGAGACAGUGGGCUUGUGCAGUGCACCUUGUGGUUGUUGGCUCUGUAGGUGCAUUGGAUCUGUCUACAAAUUCUGGCUGUCUUUGCCUCUCGAAGACUCUUGAUAUGUGUUGGAGGUGGUAGGGUGGAUAAAGUUUGCAGAAAACUACCAGUAAAACCUCAGCACACCUGGAACAAGCUUGUAUCUAAAGACAGAGCAGAUGAUUUUUCUCAUUUGUCCUGAGCUCAAACCUUAAGAACAGAACAACUUGAUUUUACGAUGAAUGCAAUAACUUGGUGGCCCAUAAGUUGAUGAUGGGUGUUGCUAUGAGCUGCUGCUUGCAGGCAGAAGUAGAUGGUAUGUAAAACAAUUUGUACCUUUCUGCAGUUUUUCAUGUUGGCGAGGCUGUGUUUUUUAGAAUUACUUGAUGUGCUGGAGCUGCAUGAGCACUAACAAAUGUAUUUCACAUGCAGUUCAUACUGCUCACUGAGCAACUUUAGCACCUGUGCAGCUCCUUGGGUAAGCAGUGGAUCAAGAUAUAUCUGUGCCAACAGGUUUGAACAGCUUGAUUUAGUCAGGGCAAGUUCAGCUCUGUCUGGACCCAUCUGCACAGACAUGCUGUAAGUAUUCAUAAAACUGGAAUCCAAGAAUGGAGAGAAAUAAAACUGGAGGGGCUAGAUUUUGAAUUGCUCAAUAACUGUCCAUAUCAUAGGUUUAUCAGUGUUCUGCGGUGAUGCAUGCAUGUUUCUGGCAUAUGGUAUAUUGUGUGAUUAAUUGUAUGUUUCUUACUUUACAAGUGCUUUGCUUUGAGGUGCUGGGACUGUGUUUGUCUGACUACUGCUGAAGUCUCCAAGGCCAUGUUUUGGGCAUAGAAACUCUUUAAUGAAGUACUCUGGAAAAUCAGGACCUAGGCAUCUCAGGCCUGUGGAUGUUUAUCUUCACCUGUUUGUUCCAGUUUCACAAACAGGAGAGUGGUGUGGGUGUGGUUUAUUCCUUUAUAUUCAGGACGGAAUUAAGUAGUGCGCAGUAAGUUAAACAGGUCAUACCUUUGGCAAUGAGAAUAAAGCAAUGUUAACGAAUAACUCUUCUUCCAGUGAACAAAUCUGUUCUAUGCAUGGAAAACCAGGAAUCACUGCUGUGGGUCACACCCAUUCUUCACCUUUUUUUCUCCAUGGCAUUGCCUAGUCUCAGAUAUAUCAGAGGAAAAGGAGAGACUACAGAAGGCAGAUGUGAGCAUCAUCUUGGUUUCCUCAGCAGCUCCUUGCAUGGAACCUUGUCAAAAACCUUUUGGAAAUCUAAAUAAAUUAUGCCAACCAUCUGUGCUCCCAUAAUUAGAGCUCGCUUUGCCAUCUUUGUGCAAGGGCAAAAAGGGUAAAUCAAAGUCAUGAAGAUAGUCCUAAGGUUUCAGAACUUCUGCAUAAUAGACUCUGCAGCUUCAGCAUGCUUUACACUUUUUCUAUGUGGGCAUUCUUGUGGUUAUUGAAGAUCAAAGAACAACAAAACCCCUAGGAAUUCCUUAUGUAGAAUCAUACUGACUCCUUUCUGGUACAGCAUCAGGUUUGCAACUAUUUCGUUGUUGGUAUCAACUUUAGUAUGGACUCGAAGUAAGGGGCAGUAGUUAUUUUCAACAAGGAUCAGCCACUGCAGUGAUCUGUGCUUGCCACUGGGGUUUCUACAUGUCUACUGGCAAAGGGGAGCAACAGCUUCUCUAAAAGUUUCUAGUGCCGAGUGACUCAGUAUAUAAGCACAUGGAACUAGAAUAUUAUGAUUACUGUAGGGGCAACUUAAGUAUAUACAGUAAUGUUAGUUAUGGUAUAAUGCAGAAACAUCACAAAUGGCAUAAUCACUCUCUGAGACUAAAAGUUGUGCAGAUACUCUGGGGAGUCUUUGAAACUUGCAUUAAUGUAAAAGCAAUUUCUUCAUAGUUUGAAGUCAGACUACCAUGUAACAUUAAAAAUAUUAAAAGUCAAUUAUAGGUUUAAUCUUGCUUGGAGUAAUACUGUUAACUUUUAGGUUUUAAUUUAAAAUAAAAGUACGAGUUUGACAAGGAA